rnacentral:rRNA from 1 species
UACGUAGGGUGCAAGCGUUGUCCGGAAUUAUUGGGCGUAAAGAGCUCGUAGGUGGCCUGUCGCGUCGGCUGUGAAAACUCGGGGCUCAACUCCGAGCUUGCAGUCGAUACGGGCAGGCUAGAGUUCGGCAGGGGAGACUGGAAUUCCGUGGUGUAGCGGUGAAAUGCGCAGAUAUCAGGAGGAACACCGGUGGCGAAGGCGGGUCUCUGGGCCGAUACUGACACUGAGGAGCGAAAGCGUGGGGAGCGAACAGG